GACGAACGCUGGCGGCGUGCCUAAUACAUGCAAGUUGAGCGCUGAAGGUUGGUACUUGUACCGACUGGAUGAGCAGCGAACGGGUGAGUAACGCGUGGGGAAUCUGCCUUUGAGCGGGGGACAACAUUUGGAAACGAAUGCUAAUACCGCAUGAAAACUUUAAACACAAGUUUUAAGUUUGAAAGAUGCAAUUGCAUCACUCAAAGAUGAUCCCGCGUUGUAUUAGCUAGUUGGUGAGGUAAAGGCUCACCAAGGCGAUGAUACAUAGCCGACCUGAGAGGGUGAUCGGCCACAUUGGGACUGAGACACGGCCCAAACGCCUACAGGAGGCAGCAGUAGGGAAUCUUCGGCAAUGGACGAAAGUCUGACCAAGCAACGCCGCGUGAGUGAAGAAGGUUUUCGGAUCGUAAAACUCUGUUGGUAGAGAAGAACGUUGGUGAGAGUGGAAAGCUCAUCAAGUGACGGUAACUACCCAGAAAGGGACGGCUAACUACGUG
rnacentral:rRNA from 1 species